GCUGUUCAUGCCCAGCCAGCUCACAGAUGCCCAGUGACCAACCAGCUCACUCCCACAGCCGCUGGCAGGGGCAGAGGCAGGACAGCCAGGUCAGGCGUGGAGGGCCAGGGUGGGACAGGAGCAGGAAUGGGGUCCGCUCUGGAAGGCAACGUCAGAAAGGGACAGUAGCCAGGGAGACUUGACCUUUCUGUGUUCCUAAAUCAAAGGGCAGGCUGCACUUUUGGCUGGUGGCCAAGGUUCUGGAGGCAGCCGGUGAGGACCAGGCAUGCAGUGCGAACCGCUCGGGGCACCGGACAGCAUCCACUUCCCGCGCACCCACGAAGAGGGCAAUAUAAGAACUGGGCACUCAGCACGAUUUGCAAUUCAUGGGAGUUCUGGAAUUUUGAAUUUCAGAGGUUCUAGAAUGCUGGAACUUGCACCUUGGUGGUGUUCUAGAACUCUCAGGGAUACUGGAUUUCUAGAACUACAAAAGGGUCCUGCGUGAGGGGACAGAUCUCGCGGACUUUAGAGUUUCUCUCUGCCACCACUUAACUUUGAAGCUCCGUGAUGAUGUUGUGGGGCCCUUGGGGCCGCUGAAAUGUCUGGGCAGGGAAGAAAAAUAUCUGUAGAGUUCUGCGUCUUCCAGACAAUUGCUCUAUCUGUGUCUGUGUCUGUCUGUGACUCUGUCUGUGUAGCUGUCUGCUUGUCUCUCUCGGAUUCGGAGCUGACAGAAUUCAUAUCAGAAGAGUGAACGCAGGGACAUCUGUGUGCGGAAUGACUGUGCUGCUCGAACCUGCCAAUCGCUCCUGGCACGAGCUGGAAAACCUCUUGGCUGCCUCUCUUCAGGAGUAAAUUUGAAGAUCUAAGAAAUCACAGUCCUCCAUGUGUGCAAAGGAAGACCUAAAAGUGUUGAACCUAAGGGCAUAGCAAGAAGGUCUAGUUAUGCGUGAAGAAUUCCUGAACUGGGCCGGGUGCGGUGGCUCAUGCCUGUAAUCCCAGCACUUUGGGA
rnacentral:lncRNA from 10 species